rnacentral:rRNA from 1 species
GGCCCCCAUUGGAACUGAGGACACGCCCCAAACUCCUUACGGGAGGGCAGCAGUAGGGGAAUCUUUCGGGCAAAUGGGACGAAAAGUCUGACCCGAGCAAACGCCCGCGUGAGUGAAAGAAAGGUUUUCGGGAUCGUAAAACUCUGUUGUUAGAGAAGAACAAGGAUGAGAGUAACUGUUCAUCCCUUGACGGUAUCUAACCAGAAAGCCACGGCUAACUACGUGCCAGCAGCCGCGGUAAUACGUAGGUGGCAAGCGUUGUCCGGAUUUAUUGGGCGUAAAGCGAGCGCAGGCGGUUUCUUAAGUCUGAUGUGAAAGCCCCCGGCUCAACCGGGGAGGGUCAUUGGAAACUGGGAGACUUGAGUGCAGAAGAGGAGAGUGGAAUUCCAUGUGUAGCGGUGAAAUGCGUAGAUAUAUGGAGGAACACCAGUGGCGAAGGCGGCUCUCUGGUCUGUAACUGACGCUGAGGCUCGAAAGCGUGGGGAGCAAACAGGAUUAGAUACCCUGGUAGUCCACGCCGUAAACGAUGAGUGCUAAGUGUUGGAGGGCUUCCGCCCUUCAGUGCUGCAGCUAACGCAUUAAGCACUCCGCCUGGGGAGUACGACCGCAAGG